AAAUCAUGAUAAGGACACUAUCUUAAUAAACUUUUGAAUCUAUCUCAUACUUCAAAUAAUGAUUCUCUAUCUGUUUGAGCAAAAUUUGUGAUGCAAUUCCUCAUGU